AUAAGCGAUGACUAAAUCAAAACUUUGGAUUCAGAAUACUGAGCUUGUCAUAAAGUGUAAGAUGGAUCAUGGGGAGAAGACACUGGAGAAAAAGUGCCUAGGCAGAGACCAAUAAUAUUUGUCCAGAGAGCAAAUUAUGAGACUCCACUUAGCUCAGUGGUCAUGAGAGAUGCCUGAAGAAAUAAAGUCAAGAGACCCUGCAUGAGUCAAUCCUACACACUUGGUAAACCUCAUUCUCAGGUUUUUGAACUAGAUGUUCUUCAAAAUUAGUAAUAUCAUUAGCAAAGAAGACAUCCAGGAUGUCAAUCAAUGAGCACAUGAACACCAAGAAAGCUGACUAUGAGAUGCUGGCAGGUCUAGGAAGGCGUUUCUAGGGGUAAAAUACAAGCCCAGCUCCCCUGCAGUUACAUUCCUCCUCCCCCUCAGAGAGCAGCAGUCCUUGCAUUCUUUUAUUGUAUUGUCAUUUCAUGAAACUUUUCAUUUCAAUCAUUUUUAAGUGUACAAUUAUGUGGCCUUCAGUGUAUUCUUGAUGUUGUCGCACUAUACAUUUCUAGGAAAUUCUCAUUCCAAACAGAAACCCUGUACUUCUUAACAAUGACUUUGAUACCCUCUUCUCCCUGUCCCAGCCUGAGCGGUCUUGCUGGAUCCCACUUCACACUCUUUUAACAGCAUCUCUGGAAGGAAAAUGUUACCGUAUGUGACAUGAAUGUGAUCAGCUUUGAACGUUGAGAAGAGUGAGCACCUUGCGACCCCCAGGCUUCAAAGGCUAUGGAAGUAGCUAAGGCAGCAGCCCUAAGUGACAGCCCUGCUGAUGUCAGGAGUCCUACAGAGCCUGGGCAUCACCUGCUUUUGACAGCUUCCCAGUGGAUUCCAAAACAGAGCCAGGAUUAAGGCGCCCUGGGUAAGCAUUUCUCAUUCUCAUGUUCAUUAGUGGAAACAAUCUUGGACCUUCCUGGGUACUAGUGAGGACUAAAAAACAAAGGAAAAAUGUUCCAGCAAAAUGCAUACUGGGG
rnacentral:lncRNA from 1 species